rnacentral:rRNA from 1 species
UACGAAGGGGGCGAGCGUUGUUCGGAUUUACUGGGCGUAAAGGGCGCGCAGGCGGCUACAUUUGUCAGGCGUGAAAGCCCCGGGCUUAACCUGGGAACUGCAUUUGUGACUGCAUGGCUAGAGUACGGUAGAGGGGGAUGGAAUUCCGCGUGUAGCAGUGAAAUGCGUAGAUAUGCGGAGGAACACCGAUGGCGAAGGCAAUCCCCUGGACCUGUACUGACGCUCAUGCACGAAAGCGUGGGGAGCAAACAGG